CCUUCGGGAACUCUGACACAGGUGCUGCAUGGCCGUCGUCAGCUCGUGUCGUGAGAUGUUGGGUUAAGUCCCGUAACGAGCGCAACCCCUAUCCCUAGUUGCUAGCAGUUCGGCUGAGAACUCUAGGGAGACUGCCGGUGACAAACCGGAGGAAGGUGGGGAUGACGUCAGGUCAUCAUGGCCCUUACGGCCAGGGCUACACACGUGCUACAAUGGUAGGUACAGAGGGUUGCUACACAGCGAUGUGAUGCUAAUCUCAAAAAGCCUAUCGUAGUCCGGAUUGGAGUCUGCAACUCGACUCCAUGAAGUCGGAAUCGCUAGUAAUCGCGGAUCAGAAUGCCGC
rnacentral:rRNA from 1 species